rnacentral:rRNA from 1 species
UACGUAGGGUGCGAGCGUUGUCCGGAAUUACUGGGCGUAAAGAGCUCGUAGGUGGUUUGUCGCGUUGUUCGUGAAAACUCACAGCUUAACUGUGGGCGUGCGGGCGAUACGGGCAGACUGGAGUACUGCAGGGGAGACUGGAAUUCCUGGUGUAGCGGUGGAAUGCGCAGAUAUCAGGAGGAACACCGGUGGCGAAGGCGGGUCUCUGGGCAGUAACUGACGCUGAGGAGCGAAAGCGUGGGGAGCGAAUAGG